AAUGUAUAUGUUUUUCCAGAAAUUUUCUUAGAUUAAUCUCAAAAUGUAAGACUUUUUUGUUGAGUAUUUGCUCCUCCAUUUUUUCGACCUGCUGUGCUAGCACGACCUCAUAAAAACCGUUAACUCGCCAUUCGGUUGGAUACCAGUAACUAAACUAGGUGGUUCUGGACUUCAAGAAUUUUGCUCAAAACUUAACAAAACAAAACACUCACACAGAAGAUUAUUUAUAAGAAAACACAGAAGGAGCCAUUACAGCGAGCUUUCUGCAGUGCACUAUAUAUUACAGUGUAAGUACAAUAACUUUUAAUUUUCAUAACUUCGUGAUUUAAUUGUCGUAAUAAUAUUAAUAAAUACAUAUUCCAGUCUGUGCUUGCAUGUUGAACAAGUGCUAAUAUCCAAAAUCUGGGUAAGGUUUAAACAAUGUGUUUAAUGCUUACUGAAAAAUAAUGGUAGACAAAAUUAUGCAUGAAAUAUUGGAUAACUACAAUAACAAGUGAAAGCUACAUGCAUUUCUGCAAACAACAACUGAUACAGGAUUUAUAACAAUGUAAUUGUCCAAUUGUAAUUGGAGGGUAUAUAGAUAAAUACAACAAAAUUCCAGUAACAAACAAGAUAAUGGAAUGAUUAAUUCAAUGAUUAGUUUACAUGAUUAGUUCACAGUUAGCUGAGUAUGAAUUAAAAGUAUAAAACCAAUUUCUUCAUACAAGUUAAAAACUACAAGAAUAGGUUAAUACUUUCCUUUAAGUCUAAGACAACCACUAAUUAAGGCAUUACAAAGGUGGUUCAUCUGGCCAGAAGUCAUACAAUUCUUUGUUUUUUUGUCAUAUGUAUGUCUUGCAUUCAACAGAAACAUCUGAAAAAACAAUGCACAGUUACAAAGGAACACAAUUGUCUAUAAAAAAA